UCCAGUUGAUCCCGCUGGAGAUUGCGGCUAUCUAGUUUGUAAUUAGACAUGCAAGUCUUUCUAAUCUUCGGAGAGGAAGGCAAACUGCUCAGUAACACGUAGCUAACCUGCCCUCGAGCUGGCGAUACCCUCGGGAAACUGAGGUUAAUAGCCAAUAGGAGAUUGAUACUGGAAUGUUCUAUCUCCGAAAGCUUGCGCGAGGAUGGGGCUGCGGUGGAUUAGGUUGUUGGCGGGGUAAUAGCCCACCAAGCCGAUGAUCCAUAAGGGCUCUUAGCGGAGAGGCCCUGGGAGGGAAUCUGAGACACUAUUCCCAGCCCUACGGGGUGCAGCAGUCGAGAAACUUCUGCAAUGCACGAAAGUGUGACAGAGCAAGCUAGAGUGCUUUUCCGUAUUGGAAAAGCUUUUGUGAGAUGUAAAAAGUCUCACGAAUAAGGACUGGGCAAGACUAGUGCCAGCCGCCGCGGUAAUACUAGCGGUCCGAGUCGCAAUCAUGUUUAUUGGGUCUAAAACAUCCGUAGCUUGUUAUGUAAGUCUCUUGUGAAAUCCUACCUCUUAAGGGUAGAAGUGCGAGAGAUACUGCAUAGCUAGAGACCGGGAGACGUGAGGAGUACGGUUAGGGUAGCGGUUAAAUGUGUUGAUCCUUUCUGGACUAACAAUAGCGAAGGCACCUCGCGAGAACGGAUCUGACAGUGAGGGAUGAAGGCUAGGGGCGCAAAGCGGAUUAGAUACCCGUGUAGUCCUAGCAGUAAACACUGCACACUAAACAUCGGGGCCUCUUCGAGAGGUUUCGGUGCUGUAGGGAAGCCAUAGAGUGUGCUACCUGGGAAGUAUAGCCGCAAGGCCGAAACUUAAAGGAAUAGGCGGGGGAGUACUACAACGAGUGACGCGUGCGGUUCAAUUAGAUUAUACACCGUGAACCUCACCAGGACCGACAGCAGGAUGAAGGUCAGUCUAAAGGGCUUACCUGACACGCUGAGAGGAGAUGCAUGGCCGACGCCAGCCUGUGUUGUGAGAUGACCUGUUAAAUCAGGUAACAGGCGAGACCCGUAUGUAUAUUUACUAAGUGUACAAUAUACAGACUGCCUUGGUAACAAGGAGGAGGGUGCGGGCUACGUUAGGUGAGUACAUCCCGAAUGUCCUGGGCUACACGCGCGCGGCAAUGCUGCAUUCAAUGGGUUGCGACACCGAAAGGUGAAGCUAAUCUCGUAAACUGCAGCCUAGUUCGAAUCGAGGGUUGCAACUCACCCUCGUGACGCUGGAAUUCGUAGUAAUCGUGUGUUAUCAGCAGACGGUGAAUAUGUCAAUGCUCCUUGCACUCACCGCCCGUCAAACCAACCGAGUUUUGCAUUGGCGAGGCUCGUCAGAGACGAACCUUUGUAAGACAAGGUAGGUUAAGUCGUCACAAGGUA
rnacentral:rRNA from 1 species